GUAGAGGAUGCUUCGAGGCAGCGGCCGGUCUAAGUUCCUUGGAACAGGACGUCACAGAGGGUGAGAAUCCCGUAUGUGACCGGUUGGCACCUCACACGUAGCUCCUUCGACGAGUCGAGUUGUUUGGGAAUGCAGCUCUAAAUGGGAGGUAAAUUUCUUCUAAAGCUAAAUACCGGCCAGAGACCGAUAGCGCACAAGUAGAGUGAUCGAAAGAUGAAAAGCACUUUGGAAAGAGAGUUAAAAAGCACGUGAAAUUGUUGAAAGGGAAGCGCUUGCAACCAGACUUGUUGGCGGUGUUCCGCCGGUCUUCUGACCGGUCCAUUCGCCGCCCGCAGGCCAACAUCGUCUGGGGCCGCCGGAGAAAGGCUUGGGGAAUGUAGCUCCUCUCGGGGAGUGUUAUAGCCCUUUGCACAAUACGGUGCGUCCCGGGCGAGGUCCGCGCUUCGGCUAGGAUGUUGGCGUAAUGGUUGUAAGCGGCCCGUCUUGAAACACGGACCAAGGAGUCGAUUAACUGUGCGAGUGUUCGGGUGGAAAACCCCUACGCGCAAUGAAAGUGAACGGAGGCGAGAACUUCGGUGCAUCGUCGACCGAUCCUGAUGUUUUCGGAUGGAUUUGAGUAAGAGCAUAGCUAAUCGGACCCGAAAGAUGGUGAACUAUGCCUGAAUAGGGUGAAGCCAGAGGAAACUCUGGUGGAGGCUCGCAGCGGUUCUGACGUGCAAAUCGAUCGUCAAAUUUGGGUAUAGGGGCGAAAGACUAAUCGAACCAUUGACUACUAGGUGGUUGAUUCACCGGUAGUGCAGGCGGUCCAACCGUCGACACCGUCAAAGUGCGGGAAAUCGCUGAGGUUUGCGUCGGCCGUCGGUCCCGGAAACGGGUCACUGGCAUGGAAUAUCGAGCGAUGUUCCGCGAGGCAGGCGUGAAAUUGGAUGAUCCGCAGCCAAGUCCGCAGUCGCAGGGGGCGACCCGGACGCAGCUCAGAGACUCGACGUCGGUGGGCGAGCGCGCAGCUCGCUUAAGAGAGAGUCGGUUGGGUCGCG
rnacentral:rRNA from 1 species